rnacentral:tRNA from 1 species
AUUCAUUUUGGUCAGUCGGUAGAGCAUGAGACUCUUAAUCUCGGGGUUGUGGGUUCGUGCCCCACGUUGGGUG